AGUGAACGCUGGCGGUAGGCCUAACACAUGCAAGUCGAACGGCAGCACAGUAAGAGCUUGCUCUUACGGGUGGCGAGUGGCGGACGGGUGAGGAAUACAUCGGAAUCUACUUUUUCGUGGGGGAUAACGUAGGGAAACUUACGCUAAUACCGCAUACGACCUACGGGUGAAAGCAGGGGAUCUUCGGACCUUGCGCGAUUGAAUGAGCCGAUGUCGGAUUAGCUAGUUGGCGGGGUAAAGGCCCACCAAGGCGACGAUCCGUAGCUGGUCUGAGAGGAUGAUCAGCCACACUGGAACUGAGACACGGUCCAGACUCCUACGGGAGGCAGCAGUGGGGAAUAUUGGACAAUGGGCGCAAGCCUGAUCCAGCCAUACCGCGUGGGUGAAGAAGGCCUUCGGGUUGUAAAGCCCUUUUGGUGGGAAAGAAAAGCAGCAGGUUAAUACCCCGCUGUUCUGACGGUACCCAAAGAAGAAGCACCGGCUAACUUCGUG
rnacentral:rRNA from 1 species